AGAGUUUGAUCAUGGCUCAGGACGAACGCUGGCGGCGCGCCUAACACAUGCAAGUCGAGCGAGAACCAGGGCUUCGGCCCUGGGGACAGCGGCGAACGGGUGAGUAACACGUGGGUAAUCUGCCCUCGGCACCGGGAUAGCCCGGGGAAACCCGGAUUAAUACCGGAUGGCCUCUCGAGUCUUCGGGCUCGAGCGAAAAGGUGGCUUCGGCUUCCGGCCGAGGAUGAGCCCGCGGCCGAUUAGCUUGUUGGUGGGGUAACGGCCCACCAAGGCAACGAUCGGUAGCUGGUCUGAGAGAACGAUCAGCCACACUGGGACUGAGACACGGCCCAGACUCCUACGGGAGGCAGCAGUGGGGAAUCUUGCGCAAUGGGCGAAAGCCUGACGCAGCGACGCCGCGUGCGGGAAGAAGGCCUUCGGGUUGUAAACCGCUUUCAGGUGGGACGAAGCCACUCGGGUUAAUAGCCCAGAGGGUGACGGUACCUCCAGAAGAAGCCCCGGCUAACUACGUGCCAGCAGCCGCGGUAAUACGUAGGGGGCUAGCGUUGUCCGGAUUUAUUGGGCGUAAAGAGCGCGUAGGCGGCCUGGCAAGUCCGACGUGAAAUCUGGAGGCUCAACCUCCAGCGGUCGUUGGAAACUGCUUGGCUAGAGUCCGGAAGAGGAGAGUGGAAUUCCUGGUGUAGCGGUGAAAUGCGCAGAUAUCAGGAAGAACACCGAUGGCGAAAGCAGCUCUCUGGGACGGUACUGACGCUGAGGCGCGAAAGCGUGGGGAGCGAACAGGAUUAGAUACCCUGGUAGUCCACGCCGUAAACGAUGGGCACUAGGUGUGGGCGGUGUCGACUCCGUCCGCGCCGAAGCUAACGCAUUAAGUGCCCCGCCUGGGGAGUACGGCCGCAAGGCUAAAACUCAAAGGAAUUGACGGGGGCCCGCACAAGCAGCGGAGCAUGUGGUUUAAUUCGACGCAACGCGAAGAACCUUACCAGGGCUUGACAUGCACGGGAAUGUCGUAGAAAUACGGCAGCCCUUCGGGGCUCGUGCACAGGUGGUGCAUGGCUGUCGUCAGCUCGUGUCGUGAGAUGUUGGGUUAAGUCCCGCAACGAGCGCAACCCUCGCCCUUAGUUGCCAUCAUUCAGUUGGGCACUCUAAGGGGACUGCCGGUGAUAAGCCGCGAGGAAGGUGGGGAUGACGUCAAGUCCUCAUGGCCCUUACGGCCUGGGCCACACACGUGCUACAAUGGCGGUGACAAUGGGCAGCAAAGGGGCAACCCGGAGCUAAUCUCAAAAAGCCGUCUCAGUUCGGAUUGCACUCUGCAACUCGGGUGCAUGAAGUCGGAAUCGCUAGUAAUCGCGGAUCAGCACGCCGCGGUGAAUACGUUCCCGGGCCUUGUACACACCGCCCGUCACACCAUGGGAGUUGGCUUUACCCGAAGAUGGUGCGCUAACCCGCAAGGGAGGCAGCCAGCCACGGUAGGGUCAGCGACUGGGGUGAAGUCGUAACAAGGUAACCGUA
rnacentral:rRNA from 1 species